rnacentral:rRNA from 1 species
GAUGAACGCUGGCGGCGUGCCUAAUACAUGCCAGUCGAGCGAACAGACGAGGAGCUUGCUCCUCUGACGUUAGCGGCGGACGGGUGAGUAACACGUGGAUAACCUACCUAUAAGACUGGGAUAACUUCGGGAAACCGGAGCUAAUACCGUAUAAUAUAUUGAACCGCAUGGUUCAAUAGUGAAAGACGGUUUUGCUGUCACUUAUAGAUGGAUCCGCGCCGCAUUAGCUAGUUGGUAAGGUAACGGCUUACCAAGGCAACGAUGCGUAGCCGACCUGAGAGGGUGAUCGGCCACACUGGAACUGAGACACGGUCCAGACUCCUACGGGAGGCAGCAGUAGGGAAUCUUCCGCAAUGGGCGAAAGCCUGACGGAGCAACGACGCGUGAGUGAUGAAGGUCUUCGGAUCGUAAAACUCUGUUAUGAGGGAAGAACAAAUGUGUAAGUAACUAUGCACGUCUUGACGGUACCUAAUCAGAAAGCCACGGCUAACUACGUG